GAUGAAGAACGUAGCGAAAUGCGAUACGUAAUGUGAAUUGCAGAAUUCAGUGAAUCAUCGAAUCUUUGAACGCACAUUGCGCUCUCUGGUAUUCCGGAGAGCAUGCUUGUUUGAGUAUCAGUAAUCACCUCAACUCCUUUAUUGUAGUUGGACUUGAGCUAUCCCAACAGGACUUUUUGUUCCUGGCGGGAGGCUUGAAAUGCAGGUGCAGCUGGACUUUCUUCUGAGCUAUAAGCAUAUUUAUUUAAUCCCUUAACACGGAUUAUUACUUUUUUGCUGCAGCUAACAUAAAGGUUGAAUUUCCAUUGAGCUGACUGAUGCAGGAAUUUGGCAAGGAAUUUUUUUAAUGACUUGUUAAACUCGAUCUCAAAUCAAGUAAGACUACCCGCUGAACUUAAGCAUAUCAAUAAGCGGAGGA
rnacentral:misc_RNA from 1 species